rnacentral:lncRNA from 1 species
CAGAAAGCAGCAAUACACCAGUGACUUAAUUUCUUUACAGUGCAACACACGUGCGUGUACACACACACACACACACACACACACACACUUUACAGGUUCGCCACCCUAACAUUGCAGAAACCAAGCUUCCCACUCAGGAUCUCCCAGAGGUCACACUUAAGCCCUACUGGGAUCAGCACAGGUUGACUGGGCUCAGUCCGGGAUCCCGCCCACCCUGAGCUCCCGCUCACACCUUCCGUCUGUCCCCUGCAGGAGGCCGUGGAGUCUUGCCUGACCCGUGUCACCAAGCUGGAGCUGCAGCAGCAGCAGCAGCAGGUGGUGCAGUUAGAAGGUGUAGAGAACGCCAACGCGCGCGCUCUGCUGGGCAAGUUCAUCAACGUGAUCCUGGCACUCAUGGCAGUGCUGCUGGUGUUUGUGUCCACCAUUGCCAACUUCAUCACGCCCCUCAUGAAGACGCGCCUCCGUAUCACCAGCACCGCCCUCCUGCUCCUCGUCCUCUUCCUACUCUGGAAGCACUGGGACUCGCUCACCUACCUCCUGGAGCAUGUGCUGCUGCCCAGCUGAGCGGCUGCUGUCCACCCUGUGCUCUCUGGAUUCCACUGGCCACACGCAUCUCCAGGAGGGCCCAGGCCUCCUGAGUCCCUCGGGGUCUGUCAUGUGACCUCUUUGGCCCCUAACUGUCCCUUCUCUGCACUGCUUCUGUCUGGCACCAUCUCCCUUUCAGCCUGAAGGUUGCAGAGAGGGUGCUCUGGGCUGGAGGGAGCAGGGACACUCACAGCCAAAUGGAGCAGCCGGGAGACACCGGGGCUGAAUUAUUUGAAUUAUUUGCAGUCACAUGG